rnacentral:rRNA from 1 species
GUCCAGAAUAGAAUUUUAGUUCAACUUUAAAUUUUCCUAAAGGACACCUAACCCUAAUGAAAGUUUAAAUGUUACUCUAAAGAGGGACAGCUCUUUAGAAAUAGGAUACAGCCUUUUAUAAUGAGUAAGUCAUUUUAAACCCAUAGUUGGCCUAAAAGCAGCCAUCAAUUAAGAAAGCGUUAAAGCUCAACAGUCAAAAUUAACUUAAUUCCUAGAUUUAAGAACGAACUCUUAUAACCCCUAACUGGACUAAUCUAUAAACUUAUAGAAGAAAUAAUGCUAAUAUGAGUAACAAGAAUUUAAUUCUCCUUGCACAAGCCUAUAUCAGAUCGGAUGCCCGCUGAUAGUUAACAACUAGUAAUAGAAAAACUCUACAAAUUAACUCUCUAUUAACUUCUACUGUUGACCCAACACAGGUGUGCACUUAUAGGAAAGAUUAAAAGAAGGAAAAGGAACUCGGCAAACUUUAACCCCGCCUGUUUACCAAAAACAUCACCUCUAGCAUUACUAGUAUUAGAGGCACUGCCUGCCCAGUGACAAACGUUUAACGGCCGCGGUAUCCUGACCGUGCAAAGGUAGCAUAAUCACUUGUUCCUUAAUUAGGGACUAGCAUGAAUGGCAACACGAGGGUUUAACUGUCUCUUCCUUCCAAUCAGUGAAAUUGACCUCCCCGUGAAGAGGCGGGGAUAAAACAAUAAGACGAGAAGACCCUAUGGAGCUUUAAUUAUUUAAUUCAAUAUUUUCACAACUUCACUCCACAGGAGCUUAACCAAGAAAAUCCCUGAAUUAAAAAUUUUGGUUGGGGUGACCUCGGAGCAAAAACCAACCUCCGAAUGAUUAAAGCCUAGACUCAACAAGUCAAAGCAUUAGAAAUCAUAAAUUGACCCAAAUCCUUUUGAUCAACGGAACAAGUUACCCUAGGGAUAACAGCGCAAUCCUAUUUUAGAGUUCCCAUCGACAAUAGGGUUUACGACCUCGAUGUUGGAUCAGGACAUCCCAAUGGUGCAACCGCUAUUAAAGGUUCGUUUGUUCAACGAUUAAAG